rnacentral:rRNA from 1 species
AUUAGAGUUUGAUCCUGGCUCAGAAUCAACGCUGGCGGCGUGCCUAACACAUGCAAGUCGAACGCGAAAGGGGGCUUCGGCCCUGAGUAGAGUGGCGAACGGGUGAGUAACACGUGGGUGAUCUACCUCUGAGUGGGGGAUAACCUUCCGAAAGGAGGGCUAAUACCGCAUGACGUUCUGGGUUUGAAGACCUGGAAACCAAAGCUGGGGACCGCAAGGCCUAGCGGCUUGGAGAGGAGCCCGCGCCUGAUUAGCUAGUUGGUGGGGUAAUGGCCCACCAAGGCAACGAUCAGUAAGCCGGCCUGAGAGGGCGGACGGCCACACUGGGACUGAGACACGGCCCAGACUCCUACGGGAGGCAGGCAGUGGGGAAUUGUUCGCAAUGGGCGCAAGCCUGACGACGCAACGCCGCGUGGAGGAUGAAGGUCUUCGGAUUGUAAAUGUUGACCGGGAAGAAUGGCCCCGAACUUAAUACGUUUGGGGAG